UGUCAGCGGCCGUGCAGUAAGUCGGAGGAUCCCGUCCCCUCGCGUCCGUCGUUUCUUUCUUGUCUUCGCGGCGUCCGCCGGCGCACCGCUUCUCGCCUCACCGGCUCGCGCGGCCGCCGUGUGCGGCGGCGGCGGCGGCGGCGGCAUGGGUUUUGCGAGUGCUGUGCUGAGGAGUUGGUCUGGAUCCCCGAUCCUCUCGACGAGUGAAGCAUCCCGUUUCAUUAUCAGCCAGUGAGUGCUGCAGAAGAUGGCAAGAAAUAAGAAUCCCUGUAUUUUUCUAGAUGUGUCCAUCGGUGAUGUUCAUGCAGGGAAAAUGGUUUUUGAGCUGUUUGUUGAUGUUGUUCCGAAGACAGCUGAGAACUUUCGAGCAUUAUGCACAGGAGAGAUGGGAGUUGGAAAAACUACUAUAUCACCAUUGUGUUAUCGAGGCACAAGAUUUCACAGCAUUAUGAAGGGACUCAUGGCACAGGGCGGUGACUUCUCAAAAAAAGAUGAGAAAUGAUUGCUUCAUAUAAUCCUGUUACAAGGACUGGUGGAGAGAGUAUAUACGGUGGGACGUUUGCAGAUGAAAAUUUUGUCUUACGCCAUGAUGAUCGUGGUCUACUGUCGAUAGCAAAUACUGGACCAAACACUAAUGGCUCCCAUUCUUCGUUACAUUCAAGCCUACUCAUCAUCUCGACAAGAAGAAUACUGUGUUUCGCAAGCUUAUUCUUGGAGAUGAUGUCUUGAGGAAGAUUGAGAGUGUUGAUGUUGAUGGUUCAUCACCUCAUGUUCGAGUGAAAAUAGUGAAUUGUGGUAUGCAUAUGGAGAUCCAAGACCAUGGAACUGGAUUUUCUGAAUCCAUAGUUCUAGUUCUAAAACAAUUGUAAAUUUAUUUUAAAAAAUAGGGCUCUGGCAGGGUUCCGGGUAGUGGCCCCAACCGAUAAGGACCUAAAAGUAGGAAAGAAGCAAUAUAUUUCUUUCUGACGAACCACACCAACCACUGUGCUUCGAUCUAUGGCAAGUGAAAAUGGUAGGCCUCUUUAGCAACGUGGUAGACUUAAGAUACACUACAGAGAUUUAAGUAUUUAAGGAUUCUUAAUCUUUUAUAUUGAGACUACAGAUAUUAGAGAUA